rnacentral:rRNA from 1 species
AUGGCUUCCGGGGCCGCGGCCGCCGCACGUCGCCUUCUGCUGUUGCGCCACCGCCGCCACCACCUCGUUCCCAAUCACCACUUCUCUUCCUCCUCGGCGGACGAAUUGCUGGACGGGGGCCGCGUCAAGAUCUUCGAUCGCGAUCUGAAGCGCCGACACCGGGACCGGGCGGCGUGGGCGAUGCGGGAAACUGAUCCACUGGUAGACGCGGUCGCAGAUAACCUCCUCGACCGCCUCGAGGACUGCAGGAAGGCGUUCCCCUCGGCACUCUGCCUCGGCGGUUCGGCUGGCGCCGUCCGCCGGUCGCUUCGCGGCCGCGGUGGAAUCGAGAAAUUGACCAUGAUGGACAUGUCGGUAGACAUGGUGAACAAGUGGCGGGAGUUGGAGAGUGCUACUGACGACGGCCCCGAGAUGAACUUUAUCGUUGGAGAUGAAGAGUAUCUUCCUAUCAAAGAGAACUCCCAGGAUUUGAUAAUGAGCUGUCUUGGACUUCAUUGGACAAAUGAUCUACCUGGAGCAAUGAUACAGUGUAGGUUGGCGUUGAAGCCUGAUGGCCUUUUUCUUGCAGCAAUUCUUGGCGGGGAGACUCUGAAGGAACUAAGAAUUGCAUGCACAAUUGCUCAAAUGGAACGUGAGGGAGGCAUCAGUCCUCGAAUGUCGCCAUUAGCACAAGUCCGUGAUGCAGGAAACCUUUUGUCAAGGGCAGGCUUCGCCCUUCCAGGAGUUGAUGUAGAUCGAUAUACAGUCAAGUACAAUAGUGCUCUUGAACUUGUGGAACAUCUUAGAGCAAUGGCAGAAACAAAUGCUCUCUUUCAAAGAAGCCCUAUAUUAAAGAGAGAUACAGCACUAGCUACUGCAGCCAUUUACCAGUCAAUGUUUGGGUUAGAAGAUGGAACCAUUCCAGCAACCUUUCAGGUAAUUUACAUGACUGGGUGGAAGGAGCAUUCAUCACAGCAAAAGCCUAAGAGAAGGGGUUCUGCCACUGUAUCAUUUGGUGACAUAAGGAAACAAUUUGGUUCCAACCAAGACUGA